GUCGUAUUUAGUGAUGUCCCAAUCGAGGAAGAGACGACAGAUAUGAGGCUGCGGCAAGUGGAGCAUAUCCGUUGUCAUCUUUGAUUUAUAUAUUCCAUAAUGCACAACUAAAUUAUAAACUUCAAAGAGAUUACUUCAAGUUUACCAUUGACCAUUAAGAGAUCUUGAUACAACUACCCCUGUUAACUACAAUCCCAAAUUAAGGAAACCGCAAUAUAUGAAUUUUCUGGCAGAUAUUUAUUUC
rnacentral:lncRNA from 1 species